rnacentral:rRNA from 1 species
UGGUGGAGUGAUUUGUCUGGUUGAUUCCGAUAACGAACGAGACCCGGACUGGUAAAUAGUACUCGUUAACUUCCGUUAGCGUGCGACUUCUUACUGGGACAACUCGCUUUUAGCGAGAGGAAGCGCCGGGCAAUAACA